CCGGCUCACGAUGAACGCUAGCUACAGGCUUAACACAUGCAAGUCGAGGGGCAGCAUGGUCUUAGCUUGCUAAGGCCGAUGGCGACCGGCGCACGGGUGAGUAACACGUAUCCAACCUGCCGUCUACUCUUGGACAGCCUUCUGAAAGGAAGAUUAAUACAAGAUGGCAUCAUGAGUCCGCAUGUUCACAUGAUUAAAGGUAUUCCGGUAGACGAUGGGGAUGCGUUCCAUUAGAUAGUAGGCGGGGUAACGGCCCACCUAGUCUUCGAUGGAUAGGGGUUCUGAGAGGAAGGUCCCCCACAUUGGAACUGAGACACGGUCCAAACUCCUACGGGAGGCAGCAGUGAGGAAUAUUGGUCAAUGGGCGAGAGCCUGAACCAGCCAAGUAGCGUGAAGGAUGACUGCCCUAUGGGUUGUAAACUUCUUUUAUAAAGGAAUAAAGUCGGGUAUGGAUACCCGUUUGCAUGUACUUUAUGAAUAAGGAUCGGCUAACUCCGUGCCAGCAGCCGCGGUAAUACGGAGGAUCCGAGCGUUAUCCGGAUUUAUUGGGUUUAAAGGGAGCGUAGAUGGAUGUUUAAGUCAGUUGUGAAAGUUUGCGGCUCAACCGUAAAAUUGCAGUUGAUACUGGAUAUCUUGAGUGCAGUUGAGGCAGGCGGAAUUCGUGGUGUAGCGGUGAAAUGCUUAGAUAUCACGAAGAACUCCGAUUGCGAAGGCAGCCUGCUAAGCUGCAACUGACAUUGAGGCUCGAAAGUGUGGGUAUCAAACAGGAUUAGAUACCCUGGUAGUCCACACGGUAAACGAUGAAUACUCGCUGUUUGCGAUAUACAGCAAGCGGCCAAGCGAAAGCGUUAAGUAUUCCACCUGGGGAGUACGCCGGCAACGGUGAAACUCAAAGGAAUUGACGGGGGCCCGCACAAGCGGAGGAACAUGUGGUUUAAUUCGAUGAUACGCGAGGAACCUUACCCGGGCUUAAAUUGCAGAUGAAUUACGGUGAAAGCCGUAAGCCGCAAGGCAUCUGUGAAGGUGCUGCAUGGUUGUCGUCAGCUCGUGCCGUGAGGUGUCGGCUUAAGUGCCAUAACGAGCGCAACCCUUGUUGUCAGUUACUAACAGGUUCCGCUGAGGACUCUGACAAGACUGCCAUCGUAAGAUGUGAGGAAGGUGGGGAUGACGUCAAAUCAGCACGGCCCUUACGUCCGGGGCUACACACGUGUUACAAUGGGGGGUACAGAGGGCCGCUACCACGCGAGUGGAUGCCAAUCCCCAAAACCUCUCUCAGUUCGGACUGGAGUCUGCAACCCGACUCCACGAAGCUGGAUUCGCUAGUAAUCGCGCAUCAGCCACGGCGCGGUGAAUACGUUCCCGGGCCUUGUACACACCGCC
rnacentral:rRNA from 1 species